AUAUAUAUUAAGUAUCAGUCAUGUUGAGGUGCUGUUGUGCAUCCAGCAACAACCGCGAAAUGAGCAGGGAUCAAAUUUAAGACUCCUGUUAGGUUAUUAAUCGAUACUCUUUUUAUUAAGAUUGUUCACAUAUUUCAAAAAGACAGUGGCUCAGCACGUGAUGGCGUUUGCAGAUACUUAACGAAAAAUGUAAACGGAAGACAGAACAUUGAUGAUAGCUUUUACGUAUUUGACCUUGGAGAGUUGACAAAGCUGUACGCUCUGUUGGUGGAACUGCUUCCUCGAGUAAAACCAUUCUAUGCGGUAAAAGCUUCUCCCUAUGAUCCAGUAAUCAGUGCGUUGGUGGAACUAGGCACAGGAUUUGAUUGUGCAAGCCAGGAAGAACUUCUCCAGGCAAAACGACUUGGAGUGGAUUCGGAAGAAAUAAUCAUGUCGAAUCCUUGUAAGCAAAUUUCACAUUUGCAGACAGCAAAGGAACAUGGAGUAAAAAUGAU